GCGAGCGCUCCCGGGCCGCGCGAGCCUCUGUGCCGCCGGCGGGAUGCAGCGGGCGUGCGGCCAGGGCGCGGGGCCGCCACCUGCUGGGGAGCCAGGAACAGCGCUGUCUACAAGUUCACCAGGUUGGUUUAAGGUCUCCUAAUGUAUCAUCAUCUAACUGCAAGUCUCAUCUUUUCUUCAAGCCAGGACACCUCCGACUACUUGAGAACACACGUGUGAUGGUGUAAUUUCUGCUUUUCUGAAAGAACUCGGAGGAGACCUGAUCGAGGAGCUUGAGGAACAUCUCCGUCAGGGCACAGUCCCUGCAGUCCUGGAGCCUCAUC